rnacentral:rRNA from 1 species
UGUUGGUGAGGUAAUGGCUCACCAAGGCGACGAUCAGUAUCUGGUUUGAGAGGACGAUCAGACACACUGGAACUGAGACACGGUCCAGACUCCUACGGGAGGCAGCAGUGGGGAAUUUUCCGCAAUGGGCGAAAGCCUGACGGAGCAAUACCGCGUGAGGGAUGAAGGCCUAUGGGUUGUAAACCUCUCUUUUCAGGGAGGAACAAAAUGACGUGUACCUGAAGAAUAAGCAUCGGCUAACUCCGUGCCAGCAGCCGCGGUAAGACGGGGGAUGCAAGUGUUAUCCGGAAUCACUGGGCGUAAAGCGUCUGUAGGUGGUUAAGUAAGUCAACUGUUAAAUCUUGAGGCUUAACCUCAAAAUCGCAGUCGAAACUGCUUGACUAGAGUAUAGUAGGGGUAAAGGGAAUUUCCAGUGGAGCGGUGAAAUGCGUAGAUAUUGGAAAGAACACCGAUGGCGAAGGCACUUUACUGGGCUAUUACUAACACUGAGAGACGAAAGCUAGGGUAGCAAAUGGGAUUAGAUACCCCAGUAGUCCUAGCUGUAAACAAUGGAUACUAGAUGUUGAACAGAUCGACCUGUGCAGUAUCAAAGCUAACGCGUUAAGUAUCCCGCCUGGGAAGUAUGCUCGCAAGAGUG